rnacentral:rRNA from 1 species
CUGUCGUCAGCUCGUGUUGUGAAAUGUUGGGUUAAGUCCCGCAACGAGCGCAACCCUUAUCCUUUGUUGCCAGCGGUUCGGCCGGGAACUCAAAGGAGACUGCCAGUGAUAAACUGGAGGAAGGUGGGGAUGACGUCAAGUCAUCAUGGCCCUUACGAGUAGGGCUACACACGUGCUACAAUGGCGCAUACAAAGAGAAGCGACCUCGCGAGAGCAAGCGGACCUCAUAAAGUGCGUCGUAGUCCGGAUUGGAGUCUGCAACUCGACUCCAUGAAGUCGGAAUCGCUAGUAAUCGUGGAUCAGAAUGCCACGGUGAAUACGUUCCCGGGCCUUGUACACACCGCCCGUCACACCAUGGGAGUGGGUUGCAAAAGAAGUAGGUAGCUUAACCUUCGGGAGGGCGCUUACCACUUUGUGAUUCAUGACUGGGGUGAAGUCGUAACAAGGUAACCGUAGGGGAACCUGCGGUUGGAUCACCUCCUUA